AGACCCGAAACCCGGUGAUCUAGCCAUGGGCAGGUUGAAGGUUGGGUAACACUAACUGGAGGACCGAACCGACUAAUGUUGAAAAAUUAGCGGAUGACCUGUGGCUGGGGGUGAAAGGCCAAUCAAACCGGGAGAUAGCUGGUUCUCCCCGAAAGCUAUUUAGGUAGCGCCUCGUGAAUUCAUCUCCGGGGGUAGAGCACUGUUUCGGCUAGGGGGCCAUCCCGGCUUACCAACCCGAUGCAAACUGCGAAUACCGGAGAAUGUUAUCACGGGAGACACACGGCGGGUGCUAACGUCCGUCGUGAAGAGGGAAACAACCCAGACCGCCAGCUAAGGUCCCAAAGUCAUGGUUAAGUGGGAAACGAUGUGGGAAGGCCCAGACAGCCAGGAUGUUGGCUUAGAAGCAGCCAUCAUUUAAAGAAAGCGUAAUAGCUCACUGGUCGAGUCGGCCUGCGCGGAAGAUGUAACGGGGCUAAACCAUGCACCGAAGCUGCGGCAGCGAACGUAUCACUUAAAGCGAUUCAGCGGGUUACGAUUGACGGAGCGAAGCGACGUCAAAGCGUAUACAAAGUCGAGUCGGUUUAAGGAUACGUUCGUUGGGUAGGGGAGCGUUCUGUAAGCCUGCGAAGGUGGCCUGUGAGGGUUGCUGGAGGUAU
rnacentral:rRNA from 1 species